UACAGAGGGUGCAAGCGUUGUUCGGAAUUAUUGGGCGUAAAGGGCGCGUAGGCGGUGCGGUAAGUCUGUAGUGAAAUCUCUGGGCUCAACUCAGAGUCUGCUAUAGAAACUGCCGUGCUAGAGUGUGGGAGAGGUGAGUGGAAUUCCGCGUGUAGCAGUGAAAUGCGUAGAGAUGCGGAGGAACACCGAUGGCGAAGGCAGCCCCCUGGGCUAACACUGACGCUCAGGCACGAAAGCGUGGGGAGCAAACAGG
rnacentral:rRNA from 1 species